CCUACGGGGUGCAGCAGUGAGGAAUAUUGGUCAAUGGGCGUAAGCCUGAACCAGCCAAGUCGCGUGAGGGAUGAAGGUUCUAUGGAUCGUAAACCUCUUUUAUAAGGGAAUAAAGUGUGGGACGUGUCCUGUUUUGUAUGUACCUUAUGAAUAAGGAUCGGCUAACUCCGUGCCAGCAGCCGCGGUAAUACGGAGGAUCCGAGCGUUAUCCGGAUUUAUUGGGUUUAAAGGGUGCGUAGGCGGCCUUUUAAGUCAGCGGUGAAAGUCUGUGGCUCAACCAUAGAUUUGCCGUUGAAACUGGGAGGCUUGAGUAUGUUUGAGGCAGGCGGAAUGCGUGGGGUAGCGGUGAAAUGCUUAGAUAUCACGCAGAACCCCGAUUGCGAAGGCAGCCUGCCAAGCCAUGACUGACGCUGAUGCACGAAAGCGUGGGGAUCAAACAGGAUUAGAUACCCGGGUAGUC
rnacentral:rRNA from 1 species